rnacentral:rRNA from 1 species
AUGAACGCUGGCGGCGUGCCUAAUACAUGCAAGUCGAGCGAACAGACGAGGAGCUUGCUCCUCUGACGUUAGCGGCGGACGGGUGAGUAACACGUGGAUAACCUACCUAUAAGACUGGGAUAACUUCGGGAAAUCGGAGCUAAUACCGGAUAAUAUAUUGAACCGCAUGGUUCAAUAGUGAAAGACGGUUUUGCUGUCACUUAUAGAUGGAUCCGCGCCGCAUUAGCUAGUUGGUAAGGUAACGGCUUACCAAGGCAACGAUGCGUAGCCGACCUGAGAGGGUGAUCGGCCACACUGGAACUGAGACACGGUCCAGACUCCUACGGGAGGCAGCAGUAGGGAAUCUUCCGCAAUGGGCGAAAGCUUGACGGAGCAACGCCGCGUGAGUGAUGAAGGUCUUCGGAUCGUAAAACUCUGUUAUUAGGGAAGAACAAAUGUGUAAGUAACUAUGCACGUCUUGACGGUACCUAAUCAGAAAGCCACGGCUAACUACGUG